AGAAUCAACGCUGGCGGCGUGCCUAACACAUGCAAGUCGCACGAGAAAGGGGCUUCGGCCCUGAGUAAAGUGGCGCACGGGUGAGUAACACGUGAAUGAUCUACCUCCGAGUGGGGAAUAACUGAGAGAAAUCUUAGCUAAUACCGCAUAACACUUACGAGUCAAAGCAGCAAUGCGCUUGGAGAGGAGUUCGCGGCAGAUUAGUUAGUUGGCGGGGUAAUGGCCCACCAAGACGAUGAUCUGUA
rnacentral:rRNA from 1 species